rnacentral:rRNA from 1 species
GGUCAGAACGAACGCUGGCGGCGCGUCUUAAGCAUGCAAGUCGAACGGCAAGAGGUAGCAAUACCUCCUAGAGUGGCGGACUGGUGAGUAACACGUGGGUGACAUACCCUUCAGAUGGGGAUAGCUAUUAGAAAUAGUAGAUAAUACCGAAUACGAGCACAGGGGUUAGAGAUCUGUGAGGAAAGGAGCUAAGGCUCCGCUGAAGGAAUGGCCUGCGGCCCAUUAGCUAGUUGGUGAGGUAAGAGCCCACCAAGGCGAUGAUGGGUAUCCGGCCUUAGAGGGUGAACGGACACAUUGGGACUGAGAUACGGCCCAGACUCCUACGGGAGGCAGCAGCUAAGAAUAUUCCGCAAUGGACGAAAGUCUGACGGAGCGACGCCGCGUGGAUGAAGAAGGCCGGAAGGUUGUAAAAUCCUUUUGAAACUGAAGAAUAAGCGUUGUAGGGAAUGACAGCGUGGUGACAGUAGGUUUUGAAUAAGCAACGGCUAAUUACGUGCCAGCCGCCGC